rnacentral:rRNA from 1 species
UACGGGGGGGGCAAGCGUUGUUCGGAAUUACUGGGCGUAAAGGGCUCGUAGGCGGCCAACUAAGUCAGACGUGAAAUCCCUCGGCUUAACCGGGGAACUGCAUCUGAUACUGGAUGGCUUGAGUUCAGGAGAGGGAUGCGGAAUUCCUGGUGUAGCGGUGAAAUGCGCAGAUAUCAGGAGGAACACCGGUGGCGAAGGCGGGUCUCUGGGCCGAUACUGACGCUGAGGAGCGAAAGCGUGGGGAGCGAACAGG